GACGAACGCUGGCGGCGUGCUUAAUACAUGCAAGUCGAGCGAGGUUACUGUUUUGGAUCCCUUCGGGGUGAAGAAGCUUUAACCUAGCGGCGGACGGGUGAGUAACGCGUGGGUAACCUACCCCAAAGUCCGGGAUAACAGCGGGAAACCGCUGCUAAUACCGGAUGCCUUUACCUUGGGGCAUCUUGAGGUAAAGAAGGUAACGCUUUGGGAUGGGCCCGCGUCCCAUUAGCUAGUUGGUGAGGUAACGGCUCACCAAGGCGACGAUGGGUAGCCGGCCUGAGAGGGUGGACGGCCACACUGGGACUGAGACACGGCCCAGACUCCUACGGGAGGCAGCAGUAGGGAAUAUUGCGCAAUGGACGGAGUCUGACGCAGCGACGCGCGUGAGCGAUGAAGGUCUUCGGAUCGUAAAGCUCUGUCCUUGGGGAAGAAGGCGAAAGCUUGACGGUACCCAAGAAGAAAGCCCGGCUAACUACGUGCCAGCAGCCGCGGUAAAGUCACGUCG
rnacentral:rRNA from 1 species